CAGUAGCCACGGUAAUACGUAGGUGGCAAGCGUUGUCCGGAAUUAUUGGGCGUAAAGGGCUCGCAGGCGGUUUCUUAAGUCUGAUGUGAAAGCCCCCGGCUCAACCGGUGAGGGUCAUUGGAAACUGGGAAACUUGAGUGCAGAAGAGGAGAGUGGAAUUCCACGUGUAGCGGUGGAAUGCGUAGAGAUGUGGAGGAACACCAGUGGCGAAGGCGACUCUCUGGUCUGUAACUGACGCUGAGGAGCGAAGGCGUGGGGAGCGAACAGGAUUAGAUACCCGCGUAGUCCCUGUCUCUUAUAC
rnacentral:rRNA from 1 species